UACCUCGGGGAGGGGACGGCGCCGAGGGGGCUUCGGCGGGAAACGCUGAGCACCUGACUGGAUAGAGAAGCAACUGGACAAGAAGAUUCUGUGCCACAUCACAGAUCAAAUUUAAUACUCUCAGCUUCAGAGACCUGGAGAAUCAUCUCCAUCUUGCCUUUCAACAGCCUCUGCUUAUAAACAUCUCCAGGGAAGAGCACAGAGUCACCAGUAAAAUGCCCUAUUGAACCCCAGGGUGUACACUCUGCAACUUCGAAGCCCACCUCUGCAUUAACACCUACAAGAUUGCACUGCACACAAGAUUUGGACUUGGCACUAGUUGUAGUGUUUGGCUUUGGUGAGGACAGUGUGUGUUUGUCAGCAGUUAGUAUAGGGUGGAGUUCUGAGGAGAAAGGGACAUUUUCCAUGCAGGAGCUAUUUGCUGUUGGAGUGGUGUUGUGGCAGUUUUCAUGCAGGUGUUUGAUGUUGGAGUAUUAUUGCAGGACAAGUGGCUCUGUGAGGGCUUGUCUAUGAGAUGCAGUCGAGAGAGCAGCUUAAGGUGAAAGGAAGAGAUUUGGAGGGUUUGUUGGUAGGUUUUGGAGAGCUUUUGGAGACAGGUCCAAGUUAGGUGUAAUAUAAAGGGUGAAGUUGACUUUGCCUGGGUGGUGCAAUUGGGUUGGUGUGGACAGCUAAUGAGAAGUGGUCUUUUGCAAGUGAGCCUAAAAUUCAAGAUCCAGCUGGCAGCUAUAGAUGUCAUCCCACUGCCGGGAUGGGCUGAAAGGGCUGUGCAUGGCCAGUGGAGUGAGGUCCGGCAAGCCUGAACCUCCGCAAAUGCCAAACAACAGUAAGGACUAUGGAAAUCUGUAAUGAGCUAUGAAAUCUCUCACACAUUAACUUAGGGUUCAGCCUGAGAUCUGCAUUGUGAGGGGUGUGCUGGGAAGCUCUUCUGCAGCAGAUGGGCAGAGUUGGGGUGAAGGCCUCUAUGGGGAGCAGGGGCCAAGAGGGGAAGGUGGCUUUGCUUGCUGUGGGGUGCGGGGAGGUGUCAGCACCCAGAAUCAGCCCCUGACUGGCUGUAGGGUCCUGGGGUUGGUGUUGCUCAGGCCUCUGUCUCUCUUGGGAUGGAGCAGCUCAGAAAGGAGAAAGCAAGAAGGAAGAGGACAGCGGGUCUACAAGUCAAAAGCCAGGAAAAAAGAAGAGGAUGGUGGUGGAUCUGUGAGUCAAGAGCCAGGAAGAAAGAAGAGG